rnacentral:rRNA from 1 species
AUGGCUCAGGAUGAACGCUAGCGACAGGCCUAACACAUGCAAGUCGAGGGGCAGCACAAGGAGCAAUCUGAGGUGGCGACCGGCGCACGGGUGAGUAACACGUAUGCAACCUGCCUGUAAGCGGGGAAUAACCCGUUGAAAGACGGACUAAUACCGCAUAAUACUAAAUUACUGCAUGGUAAUUUAUUUAAACAUUUAUGGCUUACAGAUGGGCAUGCGCAUGAUUAGCUAGUUGGAGAGGUAACGGCUCCCCAAGGCAACGAUCAUUAGGGGUUCUGAGAGGAAGGUCCCCCACACUGGUACUGAGACACGGACCAGACUCCUACGGGAGGCAGCAGUGAGGAAUAUUGGUCAAUGGACGAGAGUCUGAACCAGCCAAGUCCGCGUGCAGGAAGAAUGUCCUAUGGAUUGUAAACUUCUUUUGAAGGGGAAUAAAGUACGGUACGCGUACCGUUUUGUAUGUACCCUUCGAAUAAGGAUCGGCUAACUCCGUGCCAGCAGCUGC